AGAACGAACGCUGGCGGCAGGCCUAACACAUGCAAGUCGAACGCCCUAGCAAUAGGGAGUGGCAGACGGGUGAGUAACGCGUGGGAACAUGCCUUUCGGUUCGGAACAACUCGGGGAAACUUGAGCUAAUACCGGAUACGCCCUUUUUGGGGAAAGAUUUAUCGCCGGAAGAUUGGCCCGCGUCUGAUUAGCUAGUUGGCGGGGUAACGGCCCACCAAGGCGACGAUCAGUAGCUGGUCUGAGAGGAUGAUCAGCCACAUUGGGACUGAGACACGGCCCAAACUCCUACGGGAGGCAGCAGUGGGGAAUAUUGGACAAUGGGCGCAAGCCUGAUCCAGCCAUGCCGCGUGAGUGAUGACGGCCUUAGGGUUGUAAAGCUCUUUUGCCUGGGAAGAUAAUGACGGUACCAGGAGAAUAACGCCCGGACUAACUUCGUGCCAGCAGCCGC
rnacentral:rRNA from 1 species